rnacentral:lncRNA from 13 species
AUGGGCGUGGUCUCUGCAACAUCAGCAGAUACCAAAGCUCCACACGAUUAUUCUCCCACAGCCCCCCAAGCUGACAACACCAACACGGCGUCUGCUCCUCCCUCACUAUACCCAGAGAUACCAAUAGAGGUGGCCCAACCUCCACCAUAUUCAAUGGGGCACAAUCAACGGAGCCCGUCACACAACCCAUUCAUCGGAAACCCAUUCCUGCCCAGGGCUCCUCCCGCAAUACAGGCUCCAGUUCUGAGAGUACACCAAGGGCAUCUAAAAGGAGAAAUGACGCUGGGGAUAACGGGUGGCCAUAUUGUAUGUGAGCAGCUCGAAACCGGGACUCCAGGCGUAGGAGGCCUCCCCCAGGAACGGAGACCGCAAUGCUCCUCUGUGAACUCUCUCACCUCUGAAACCACUGAACACCUACUCACAGGAUUGGAUUCUAACCACUUCCAUCAGACGGAAAGGGAGGACAGUCAUAAGAGCAUGACUACCGAAAACGAAGAAGAAAUGGACAUGGUGCUCACCCCAGCUCCAAGGGGAGGUCCAAACGUGAGUAAGAUACAGGAGCUACUGCAAUCCUCAAUAGCUCAAGCCAAGGAACUCAGGGAGCUUAUGACAAACCACGAUAACAACAGAGAUGGAGCCUACCGUGUAGAAGGAAUAAUGAGAGGAACAGUAACCGAAGUGACCGAACCAAUGGGGUCUGAAACUCCCCGCCGGUCCUCCAGAAUCGCUGAUAGAAGAGAGCGAGAGCAGGUGAUGGCAGGACAGUACCCCCUGCGACCGACACCCGGUGACGCACGCAAUUUGGAGUACCAGCCCUGGAAAAUGACCGAUUUAACAACCCUGAUGGAACAGAUGCCUAGCUUACAUGGAGGUGCCUCAGCGUGGCUACUUCAACUGCAGACUCUUACGUCAGGCCUGCAACUCUGCCUAGGAGACGUGAAAGCACUUCUAGCAAGAGCCACCGACCACGGAACCAUGGAGGCCCUCAUGACAGCAGCUGACCUUGAAUGGCGGGCCCCAACACUGCCCAUAGACCACUUCCGUACCAGAUUAUGGGAAGUUCUACGGAGAGCCUACCCUACAGAAAGAAACCAUGCCACCUUAUCCUCCUUCACUAUCAAACCCAGGUGA